rnacentral:snRNA from 1 species
GUGCUCACUUCUGCAGCACUUCUACUGUCAUUGAAACAGUAUUGAGAAGAUUAGCAUGGCUUCUGCAUAAAAUUGAUAUGGAAAUUAAUGAAGUGUUCCACAUUUUU